GCCAGGGAAGGGUCGAGUGCGGAUCCCUUGCCCCAGCGGCUAUUCGCCUGCGCACUCGGUCCAUCCCUGGCUCA
ensembl:ncRNA mir-9381 mir-9381 stem loop